AUUCUGGCUCUUUUCAGAGCCACAUUCGCUCACAAAAUAAUCACAG
rfam:Tupaia chinensis contig98007, whole genome shotgun sequence.